rnacentral:rRNA from 1 species
GGUCCCGCCUGCCCUGUGACCACAAAGUUUAACGGCCGCGGUAUCCUGACCGUGCGAAGGUAGCGUAAUCAUUUGUCUUUUAAAUAGAGACCUGUAUGAAUGGCAUAACGAGGGUUUAACUGUCUCCCUCCCCUAGUCAAUGAAAUUGAUCUGCCCGUGCAGAAGCGGACAUAAAUACAUAAGACGAGAAGACCCUAUGGAGCUUUAGACAAAAGAUCAAACAUGUAAAGAAACCGAAUCAACCAAAAGGAACACAAAGGCCACAAAACCCAACGUAAAAUGAUCCAAAUGUCUUCGGUUGGGGCGACCAUGGGGGAAAGAAAAACCCCCACGAGGAACUAGGGGCAAUCCAUUAAGCCAAGAGAUACACCUCUAAGCAACAGAAAAUCUGACCAAAAAUGACCCAGGACACUAAUCCUGAUCAACGAACCAAGUUACCCUAGGGAUAACAGCGCAAUCCUUUCCCAGAGUCCAUAUCGACGAAAGGGUUUACGACCUCGAUGUUGGAUCAGGACAUCCUAAUGG